rnacentral:rRNA from 1 species
GACGAACGCUGGCGGCGUGCUUAACACAUGCAAGUCGAACGAUGAAGCUGGAGCUUGCUCCGGUGGAUUAGUGGCGAACGGGUGAGUAACACGUGAGUAAUCUGCCCUUGACUCUGGGAUAACUGCGGGAAACUGUAGCUAAUACCGGAUACGACACCUUCGGGUAUCCGAUGGGUGUGGAAAGAAUUUCGGUCAAGGAUGAACUCGCGGCCUAUCAGCUAGUUGGUGAGGUAAUGGCUCACCAAGGCGACGACGGGUAGCCGGCCUGAGAGGGUGACCGGCCACACUGGGACUGAGACACGGCCCAGACUCCUACGGGAGGCAGCAGUGGGGAAUAUUGCACAAUGGGCGAAAGCCUGAUGCAGCAACGCCGCGUGAGGGAUGAAGGCCUUCGGGUUGUAAACCUCUUUUAGUUGGGAAGAAGCGAAAGUGACGGUACCAACAGAAAAAGCACCGGCUAACUACGUGCCAGCCGCCGCCGUAA